UCUUUCUCUGUGUUUCGUCUUCUCUUUCCUUCUUCUUCUUCUUCUCUGCGAGUUUGAGAGAAAUCGAGGUUCUGAGAUCGACCAUCGUAGGGGUUAUGUUAAGGAUUGACGGUUGGUGAUGGUGUUGAUGUUUAUCGAGUUCGGGAAGGAAGAAGCUGAUGUUGUUACUCGGUUAAUUAAGGUUUUUAGAUUGGAGUUGGGAACUGAAUGAAAUUGAUAGUAAAUCGAGUGAUGAUAGAUGAAGAACAAAGGGGUUCUCGUUUAAUUGAUGUUUUGGUGUUAAUAGGAUUACGAAUUUGAAGACUAGGGUUUCUGCUAUUUUUGAGUUAAUCACAGAUCGAGAGGAAGGGUUGUUUUAGAUGAUGCAGUUGCUUAUUAUGGAUGCGUAUUGAGUAGGUUGAAUGAAUUAGGUUAGAAUUGCUUAUGAAGUCAAGUUUCAGGUGAAGAAAUUGAUGGUGGUGAUCUGUUUCAAGAUUUGAGAUGAUAAUUCUAGGGUACACUGGAGAUGAAUUGGGGAAAUAACAAUUCAGAGGACGCUAAUGCUUGGGUAAGCUUCUAAUUAUUCUACUUUUGAGAUUUCAUAUUAGAUUGUUCAAAUUGCUGAGAUUAAGUCGUUAUUAAUGAAACUGAAAUUGAGGCGUGAUGAUGAUAUAAUCCUUGAGAAAGUAGUGGAUGAACUGUUGUUAUUGAGGUAUUAGGAGAUGAUAGGGGAAGAGAGAUUGAGUUUGCAGUGGAGUUGUUCAACUGGUGAUGGAGUUGAAUUGUACUUGGAGGUAAUAUAAUUGAACUGAUGUUUUUGUGGAUUGAAGAUAUAAUAUAAAGGGGAGGUUCUCUUGAUUGAAUUAAGUUUAGAUGAAUGCUAGGUUAAUUGCAGGUGGUAUCCAAGGAUGGUGGCGCUGUCUGUGUAGUUAAAUUUGCAGGUGGAGAUGUAAUAUGGUGGUGGAAGAGGAAUGGGGAACUGAGUAUGAACUGCAGUUGUGCAGGUGCAGAGAAAGAGUCAGUUAUGGAUUGUGGAGCUGUUAUGGAGAAUUGUGUUUGAGAUGUGUUAAACUGAAAUAACUUAUGUAUUGUCUAUUGUAAUUGGGGUUUCAUUGUAUUGGUGAACUUUCAGUGAGAAUACAUGGCGUUGAGUCAGUGAUUGCAGAGGUUAGUAAUUCAAAAUUGGAGUUUGCAGAUGGAGAAGGCUAAAACUGAAUUAGUGACACAGGGGUUGUAAUGGGUUGGUUGUAGAUGAACAAGAUGAAUGUAUUUGAUACUGCAUGUGGUGGUGGGUUUGUUUGUGUUAAGUUUGAAUUACAGUUGUGGGUAAAGUGUGAUUAAAAUGGAAGUUGCAGAGUAGGUUUGAGUUUGUACUUCAGUUGAGUUUGAGUUGUAGUGUAGACGUAAGGGUUAUGGCUGAAGUAAGACUAUGGAGUACAGAUUCUAAGGGAAAUUACAGGUGUGUGUGUGUGUAGAAUGAGCUGGUACUUAAUCUGUUGGCAGAGAGGCAAUGAUUUUGGGUUUGAAAGGAAUGCGUGCUUAACCAAAGAUUGUAGACCUGGAGUUGUUGUCAUCAUGUAGAUCAUUAUUUUCGCAGAAUGUAGAAAGAAUGUGGAGCAGCUACUGCAUUUGCAGUUUCAGAGACAGAUCAGAGUUGCGCAGCGAAACCUUCAAGGGUCGAGUUCGUUAGUUGGUUAACUUCGACUAUGUUUAUUAUGUUGAAUAUUGUAUUUGUAAACCAGAUGACUAUUGUAUAUGUAUCAUUUGAGAGGAGUUCUUGCAUAUAUAUUUCUGAGCGGGGCUAGUAUUGGGUUAAGUUUUUAUAGCAGAUUUCUUAAUUGAAUGCGAUUUGGAUUCGUUGUGCCUCUUUAUUUAGUUAAUCUCUUGGAUUAGUCAGCUACUAGCUUUGGGGGCGCUGCAAUAACUAAUACCAUAAUUGUUUAAACA